ensembl:snRNA U6 U6 spliceosomal RNA
GUGCUCGCUUCGGCAGCACGUAUACUAAAAAUUGGAAUGAUACACGGAAGAUUAGCAUGGCCCCUGUGCAAGGACGACACGCAAAUUUGUGAAGCGUUCCAUAUUUUA